rnacentral:rRNA from 1 species
GACGAACGCUGGCGGCGUGCUUAACACAUGCAAGUCGAACGGAAAGGCCCUGCUUUUGUGGGGUGCUCGAGUGGCGAACGGGUGAGUGACACGUGAGUAACCUGCCCUUGACUUUGGGAUAACUUCAGGAAACUGGGGCUAAUACCGGAUAGGAGCUCCUGCUGCAUGGUGGGGGUUGGAAAGUUUCGGCGGUUGGGGAUGGACUCGCGGCUUAUCAGCUUGUUGGUGGGGUAGUGGCUUACCAAGGCUUUGACGGGUAGCCGGCCUGAGAGGGUGACCGGCCACAUUGGGACUGAGAUACGGCCCAGACUCCUACGGGAGGCAGCAGUGGGGAAUAUUGCACAAUGGGCGGAAGCCUGAUGCAGCAACGCCGCGUGCGGGAUGACGGCCUUCGGGUUGUAAACCGCUUUCGCCUGUGACGAAGCGUGAGUGACGGUAAUGGGUAAAGAAGCACCGGCCAACUACGUG